UACGAAGGGGGCUAGCGUUGUUCGGAAUCACUGGGCGUAAAGCGCACGCAGGCGGACUGAUAAGUCAGGGGUGAAAUCCCGGGGCUCAACCUCGGAACUGCCUUUGAUACUGCCAGUCUAGAGUCCGGGAGAGGUGAGUGGAAUUCCUAGUGUAGAGGUGAAAUUCGUAGAUAUUAGGAAGAACACCAGUGGCGAAGGCGACUCACUGGCCCGGUACUGACGCUCAGGUGCGAAAGCGUGGGUAGCAAACAGG
rnacentral:rRNA from 1 species